UUUCAGAUCAUGCGCAACAAGCAACGGGUUUUUGAAUUUGUGCGCCGAAUUUGCUGAGACUGCUUGCAUUUUUACCACUGGACAAAGACUGAUUACUUCUAUACAAUAAUAAUAAGGACAAGUGCUUGUGGCAGCGGUCUUCUCUGAACAGCAGUCUGGUGAACACCGUACUGUUUCGGCCUCAGUACACUGAAGAUCUAAGAAAACACUUCACACCCUACAACCCUUAAAAAU